UUAAAGCUAGACAUUAAGAGAAAGUCCAGGGCUUUAUCCUUCUACAUCAAUCUCACAAAAGUGUGACAUUCAGCCCAUAAUUUUCCACUAUGAUUCUGUAGCAGACAUUCUUAUAUGCUUUUUCUUAUCAGCGCUAGCUUGAAAUAUGGUCCUUCCACGAGCUCACUCAACAUGUUCUCCAACCCUUCCAUGAGCCUACUAGUAAUCUUAAUAGGGCCUGUAAAAAGCCCUUUCCAAGUGUCAAGCUGCAGGCUUGGAG
rnacentral:misc_RNA from 1 species